AGUGAACGCUGGCGGUAGGCCUAACACAUGCAAGUCGAACGGCAGCACAGGAGAGCUUGCUCUCUGGGUGGCGAGUGGCGGACGGGUGAGGAAUACAUCGGAAUCUACUUUUUCGUGGGGGAUAACGUAGGGAAACUUACGCUAAUACCGCAUACGACCUACGGGUGAAAGCAGGGAAUCUUCGGACCUUGCGCGAUUGAAUGAGCCGAUGUCGGAUUAGCUAGUUGGCGGGGUAAAGGCCCACCAAGGCGACGAUCCGUAGCUGGCCUGAGAGGAUGAUCAGCCACACUGGAACUGAGACACGGUCCAGACUCCUACGGGAGGCAGCAGUGGGGAAUAUUGGACAAUGGGCGCAAGCCUGAUCCAGUCAUACCGCGUGGGUGAAGAAGGCCUUCGGGUUGUAAAGCCCUUUUGUUGGGAAAGAAAUCCAGCUGGUUAAUACCCGGUUGGGAUGACGGUACCCAAAGAAUAAGCACCGGCUAACUUCGUGCCAGCCGCCGCCGUAA
rnacentral:rRNA from 1 species